rnacentral:rRNA from 1 species
UACGUAGGGCGCAAGCGUUGUCCGGAAUUAUUGGGCGUAAAGAGCUCGUAGGCGGUCUGUUGCGUCUGCCGUGAAAACCCGAGGCUUAACCUCGGGCCUGCGGUGGAUACGGGCGGACUAGAGGUAGGUAGGGGAGAAUGGAAUUCCCGGUGUAGCGGUGAAAUGCGCAGAUAUCGGGAGGAACACCGGUGGCGAAGGCGGUUCUCUGGGACGGUACUGACGCUGAGACGCGAAAGCGUGGGGAGCGAACAGG